AGCGGCGAGCGAACCGGGAGAAGCCCAGCUUGAAAAUCGCGUGUGCUUUUUCGGAGGCGGCGCGAGUUGUAGUCUGGAGAAGUGUCCUCUGCGGCGGACCCGGCCUAAGUCCCCUGGAAAGGGGCGUCAGAGAGGGUGAGAACCCCGUCGGGCCGGGACCCUGUUGCUCCACGAGGCGCUGUCGAGGAGUCGGGCUGUUUGGGAAUGCAGCCCUAAGCGGGAGGUAAAUUCCUUCCAAGGCUAAAUACGGGCGGGAGACCGAUAGCGAACAAGUACCGCGAGGGAAAGAUGAAAAGGACUUUGAAAAGAGAGUCAAAGAGUGCUUGAAAUUGCUGGGAGGGAAGCGAAUGGAGGCCUGGUGUGCGCCCCGGUCGGAUGCGGAACGGCUUUAGGGCUGGUCCGCCGCUCGACGCGGGGUGCUGGUCGGCGUGGGCUUCUCCGGCGGGAUAAAAGUUUUGGGCCGGUCGCUGCGCCUGGGUCCCUUCGGGGGCACCUGCGUACUCGGGACGCCGGCGUAGUGGGCUUUUCAUCCGACCCGUCUUGAAACACGGACCAAGGAGUCUAACAUGCACGCGAGUCGGUGGGCGGCAAACCCAAGGAGGGGAAGGAUUUAUUUUUCCUCUCGGACCGGCGAAAAUAACUUAACUGGUGUGAUCCUUUAGCCCUCGGGCGGGGUGCAACAUCGACCGACCAUGAGCAUCUCGAUGCGAAAGGUUCGAGUAAGAGCGUGCCUGUUGGGACCCGAAAGAUGGUGAACUAUGCCUGAGCAGGGCGAAGCCGGAGGAAACUCCGGUGGAGGCUCGUAGCGAUACUGACGUGCAAAUCGUUCGUCAGACUCGGGUAUAGGGGCGAAAGACUAAUCGAACCAUCUAGUAGCUGGUUCCCUCCGAAGUUUCCCUCAGGAUAGCCGGAGCAGGAGGAGUUUCGUCAGGUAAAGCCAAUGAUUAGAGGCAUCGGGGGUGAAACACCCUCGACCUAUUCUCAAACUUUAAAUAG
rnacentral:rRNA from 1 species